rnacentral:lncRNA from 1 species
UGGAAGUUCUUUCUUAAAGAGCCAAGAUGUUGUGGUAUAUCACUUUCUGCCCUAGAAUACAUUUUUGGCCGGGUCAGCUAUAUGGGUAAUGAUUUUCCAUAAAGGCAACUAGCUGCUCCAAAUUCUCCUACUCUGUCUUGUUUUCUAAGGCUCUCCCACAUUCAUGCUUUAUGUAGGUGAGCCUUUUCUGUCCACUCCUCAACAAAACUUCUCCUCCAAGCACCUUUCCAUCUUCAAAAAAGCACCUUAUAUAAUUACACCAAUACUCCUUAGAAACUUUCAAACAAAUUUAACUAUACAAGUAUUCUAACUACAAACAGAUAUGGAAUAUGAAAUAAAUGGUAAAGGGGGAUCUGUUUCCAUGUGUUAAGGUGGGGUGGCAGGUAUAUAAAUAUACAUUUCUUUGAGAAAAACUAUUGGAAUGGAGAUCACGUGUCCCAAGAUUUGGUGUCUCAUUAUAUAUCAAUCCUAUUAAAAAGUGCCAACUAGUUAAGAAAAAAAUCAUAAAAAUAAAAACCAAUUUUUUUUGAUUACUUGUUGUAAUGUAAUUGACUUGAGAUAUGACAGUAAUUUUUUGACAUGUGAUCCUUAUUUUAAAAUAUUGAUGCCCUUAUUGAGAAUUGAGAAGCAAUAGUUAGCUGAAUUUGCCAAUAUACCAACUUAAGAAAAUAGCUACCUAACCAAAGUAGGCUCAUCAAGAUUCUUCACUAAGUUUUCAGAGAAUAAAUAAAACUGAAAUGUGUAGACAAAGACUUAACAUUUAUAGUUUAAUACUCAGACGUAUAACUACCUUCAAUUCCAAUACUAGAACUUGGAUGGUGCCAUAAUCAAAGAUAGCUUUUGAGUAAAGGUGGCAGGUAUAAAACACUAUAAGAAAGUAUUUGUUCAUAACAUAUAAAUUCACUGUUAACUAUACAAUAUUACAAUCUAUACUUUGUUAACUGUGAUUUGAUCUUAUUCUACGGUUGUUAAUAAAAUAAGCUACUUGGUUUAUUACCCUUAAAAGUUAGUCUUGUUUAUAAAGCAUCUAAGGCAGAGGAAAGAGUGCUAUGAUUCUGAAGAAAAGAGAGUUGGCAAGGUAGAAUAAAAGAGUGCAUAUUGGUUAUUGGUGCAACAAUGGCAACACCAAAACAAUCAUAUGAGCAUCAACAACUAGCAAUCGUGCCGCGAGUGAGGAACUCGGGGAUGGUCAGCUCUAACCAGAGCCCAAUUAUGGAUGAUAAGGAAGAGGAGAUGUCAAGAUCAGCUCUAGCAAUGUUCAGAGCAAAGGAAGAAGAAAUUGAGAGGAAGAAAAUGGAGGUGAGGGGUAAGGUUCAUGCUUAUCUCGGUCGAGUCGAGGAAGAAACUAAGCGUUUGGCUGAGAUUAGAGAGGUAAUUCAAACAAUACUGACACUUUCCUUUGAUUUUAUAUUUGGUUUUUGCUCUAAGCAUUCAUGCUUUACUUGGUUUUUGAUUUAUGUACAUAUAUUAUAUAGAUUAUGUUAUGUAUAUAUACUAAUCAAUAUACACUUAUGAUAUUGGAAAAUGUAUAUAAUCCAAUUCAUACUAGUUUGAGCAAGGGAUUAUUAAUUGUUGUGUGCAUAUAUAGUACUAAGUUGUUUAGCCUGAUUCUUUAACAAACACAUACAUAAGUUACAUGUUUUAAAUGCAAUUUUUUUCCUUCCUUUGCAUCAAAGCUAAUAGUAAUGUUUGAUUGAAAAUAUGAAUAUCAUGUUGUAGGAGCUUGAGGGUCUCACAGAUCCAUUGAGGAAGGAAGUUGGAAUAGUUAGAAAGAAGAUAGACAGUGUUAACAAAGAGUUAAAGCCACUGGGCCAAACCUGCCAAAGAAAGGUGGUUUUUUUUAACUGUUUGCUUUUGUUUUUUUAUUUCUAAAUUCUUUACUUACACAACUUUUGAUACAGAAUUUAAUCAAUUAAACUUGUUAAGUUGUUUUCCUUCUUGGUCCCAUGUUGUCUCAUCCUAGGGGCAUAUGGGCAUGACCACUUUAGUGGUUAAGGUGAUUAUUCAUAAUAACUGUGUUUUGGUGUCCACUUAGAAAAUGAUAGAAUAAGAUUAAUGGAUAAAAAUGAUUGAAGGGAAAUAUAUAUCUUAGCUUGAAUUUCUCUCUUUUGUUUCUGUAUUUAUUUUUUCUGAAUAUUUUUUGUGGUCAGGAGAGAGAAUACAAGGAAGCACUUGAUGCUUUUAAUGAGAAAAACAAGGAAAAAGCUCAACUUGUUACAAAACUAAUGGAGGUUAGAAAUUUUGGACAGUGAUGUUUCACUUUUUUUUCUUCACAUUUCCCUCUUGUUUUAUCUUUAUAAUUAUAGAAAUUUAUUAUUAUUUACUCAUAGAUUAGUAUGACCGGUAAGAUGUUAUGUUUUCUAUUUACAAGGCAAUAAAGAAUUAUUAUGACUAUUAGGAAUAUUGAUGAAUGCUAUAUAAAUUUUCUUUGUUAUGCUAUAUAAAUUUUCUUUGUUAUGCUAUAUAAAUUAUGUAUCUUAUGUCUCAUUGAUGAAUGAAAUUAAGCCUUAUAUAUAACAUAUUUUCUCAAUACUUAUUUACGACUCAUUAUGUUCUCAAAACAAAAAACCUAAAAGGAUUUCUCUAGAAGCAUUUUGUUAAAUUUUGUAGUGUUUGUACUCAAAAUUUAUAAUUAUGGUUCCUAACAUUGAACUUUGUAUUAGCUUGUCACUGAAAGUGAGAUGCUGAGGAUGAAGAAGUUGGAGGAGCUAAGCAAAAACAUAGAGACCCUGAAUUGAAAUGCUAAUAAAAAGUAACUAGAAUCAGUAUAUGGUUGAACAUGGCAUGAUUUUGUGUGUGUGAUUUCAUUGUAUUUUGCUGACUUAAUUAGGAAAGAAUGUCCAGUAAAAAGUGUGCAUUAGACUUCUAAAUUCUGAAUACUACAAAAUGUGUUGUCAUUUUAUUUUAAUAUCAUGAUAUAAGUAGAUUCUGUCAUCAAAUGCAAAUUGAAUACUCCAAAAAAGGAUAGUUAAGCUAAUCCAUCCAUUCAUUUUACUUAAUUCUUGCAUGCAACACAAAAAAUUAUAACACAAAAAAUUAUAACAUUAUCAAAAAAGUAAUUCCUAUUUUAUAUAAUAAAUUAAAUUUAUUUCGUUAACUUAAAAUUAUAAAAAAAAAGUCUCCCCUUCUCUAGUGUUAACCAUCUCCAUAUAAGUGAUGAAAUGAUGUGAUCACAAUAGUGUAUUACGUAUCUUUUUGGGUAAAAAGUGGUGAAAACUGAAAAGUAAUGAAAAAGAGAAAUUGUGGAGCCGUUGAUGUACAAAUAAAUAACAUGGUUAUUGUUAAUAUUGGAAGUGUGACUUAGUCAAAACACUAGUUGGAUACCUCAACUGAUAGAUGUUUGUAAGAGAAAAUAACAUAUUCAUUGUCAACGAGUUUUAUAUACAAAUGAUUCAUGUAUUUAAUUAUUAUUAACUCUUUACACAAAUAAUACAAAUGAAUAAAAGUAAUAAUGAUGUACUGUGUAUUAAAUAUUUAUAGAUAUUACACUAGUUAUAACUAGAUAUUUUGAGAACUUUCAUCAAUUUGUCAGAUGAACAAAGUCUUUUCCUCCUUGAAUAUAGAUCAAGUAGGGUUUCUGAACGAAAGGUAAAUUACACAACUAUUCAAAAGGACAGUGUCGGUGAUUAUGAAAUUUUAUAAAAGAAGUUACACUAUCAUGUGGUGUAUUUUUUUUCCCUUCUAAAAAAUCAAUGUGAAUCGAAUAUUCACUGAAUCACUGGUCCUUUGUUUUCAACUUUGAUUACAUAUUAUUAGGGCUACUUUUCAAUAAGAAAUUUUUAAAAAUGACAGAUUAAGGUGAGAAGUGACAUGAUUUAAAAGAAUAAUUAGUGUAUUUUAAAGUAAAAUAAAAACUAUAUUAAUAUUUGAAUAAAAUAGCCUGAACUGCAAGUUCUAACCUUCAGAAAUUGUAUCAGUGGAUGUAAAUAUUAGAUAACAUUUUCUAUUCCCCUAGGAUUCCUUAACGAUAAGACACAUCAUCAUGUCAUAUAUAUACACAUAUAUUAAAGUUCAGUAAUUUACCUUGGUAAUGCACAUGGCAAGGACAUGGAGAAAAAUCCAG